GUUCAAUGCCGUUGUCCGCUGGUCCGAGGCCGAGUGUCAGCGGCAGCAGCUGCAGGUCCCGCACAGUCGGGCAUCCUGGUGGACCGCGAGGUGGUCAGCCUCUUCCUGCACUUCACCGUCAACCCCAAGCCACGAGUGGAGUUCAUUGACCGGCCCCGCUGCUGCCUGCGUGGGAAGGAGUGCAGCAUCAACCGCUUCCAGCAGGUGGAGAGUCGCUGGGGCUACAGCGGGACCAGUGACCGCAUCAG
rnacentral:lncRNA from 1 species